CACACGCGCGCACGGACGACACGCAGCCCGCGGCCGCCGCGUCCCGCUGCCGCGCGCCCGCAGCCCGGCCAAGCCGCGGGGCCCGAGCCACCGCGCCGGCGGGGCCGCGGCGCGCGGAAGCCACUCUGCACGGGCAAGCGUCGGGCACAAGUUAGUUCCUCGGCUCCGGGGCCUCGGAGCCGCGGGGACGAAACGCCGAGGGCGCCGAGGAGGCGGGGAGGGGGGCGCCGAGGGGGCACAAGAGUGGGGGAAAAGUGCGGAAAGAAGCAACAGCCGCUCCCCCCCGAGCCCAGAAAAGUGGGCGCCGCGUCCCGGCCGCCCGCCCGCGCCGGGGAUGCGGCGGCGGCGGCGGCUAACGGUCCAGCGAGGCGGCAGGGGCGGCGGGAGCCGCUAGGCGGAGAGACCAGUUUUCUCAUUUGGAGCUCCUCACCUCUGAGCCUGGAAGGAGUUGCAGGUGAGGACAGAAUGGUCAUCCUCCACCCCUAGCUCAGCCCUCGGGCCACCAGCCAGCAGGCCAAAGCACCCAACUAAGGAAACUUGAGACCAUGAGAAGCCACUGGAAGUCUGUGAACAGGAGAAUGACAUUGUAACAUGACAAAAGGGGACGCCGGUUUGAUUCCUGGUCCAGGAAUUAAGACCCCACAUGCCGCAGAACAACUAAACCCACUUGAGCCCUCUGGAGCCUAUAUGCUACAAGAGAGUCUCUGUGCCACAAUGAAAGAUCCAGAAUGCCGCAGCUAAGACCUGAUGCAGCCAGACUGAGCAACACGAAAAAGAAAAAAAAAUUACAGCGCGUGCAUGGGAAACAUUCUUCCCUUUUUUCUUGAGUAACGGACACGUUGGAGAGCCAGCGUUGAGUAAGGGGCGAUGGCUUUGCUGUGAUAAACACAAAAAAGCAUCCAGGGCCUGGCCUACCCUGAGCCCAGGCAGGAAAUUCAAGGGUAAUAUAACACUUUACUGUUAAGUAAUACCAUUGGAAUAAAACCAUGUUUGGGAUGACUUUUGGCUCUCACUUGGAAUUUCUGUUUCAUUUGCUUCCAGAAAGAACUCUUCCCCCAUAAAGUUCUUAACUUGCAUUUCAAAAGAUUUUGUAGCUGUAUAAAUAGGAUGUAUGUCAUAGAACACGCAGAAAAACACAUCCAAUCCAGGACCUUGGUUUUCAGGAUGGACUCCAGGGCAGCAGCUUCAAGCAGUGGAAGUGCAAUUCACAGGUUAGAGACCUCAUUCUGCUCCCUGCUAGCAGUGUGACCUUGCAUGGAUUCUUUGACCUUGGAGCCAGUAAAAGAGGAAAAACAAUAGUACCCACUCAGAGGGUUUUGUGAGGAUAAAAUGCAAGAAUAUGAAAGGCUCGGUGCUAGCCUGCCAUACAGCUUUUUCCUUCUUUCCCCGGCUUCAUAACUGAGCUGGGCAUGACUGGCCUCAGCGUAGAAAAAGACUAAAAUGGAAAACCAGAAUUUAUUUUUGUCUGAAUAACUUGGCCAUGGUUGGACUGUUUUUCCCUGUUGGUUUUAAGCCAUAUUUCUCCAGUGCUGCCUCCUAGGCUGAAUUUCUGCAUGAUUGAAACACCAUCUUCAGUUUCAGAGGAACUCAGGUGAACUGAAGCAUCUCUACAUAACUCGGAUGGUGCAGGAAUCAGACCCACGGGACAGACUGGUGAAGGAUCUGCAGGCGUUUAGCUGGGAGAAGACUGGGGUUGAGGAUGUGGGGAGUGUCUCCAAACAUCUGAAGGGUAAUAUCAUGUGAAAGAGAAAUUUGAUUAAUUCUCCAUGGUUCCGUAAGUGGAGACAGGUUCCAGUUUUAUGGAUAGAAAACCUUUUAAAAAAAAUAUCAGAUUGUCAAGGAAAGAUGCUGUCUUCUGAUGUAAGGAAUUCCAGAGGGAUCCUAGCAGGGAGUAGUUCUUCACUCCCUGGGAGUCCUACAGGGUAUUCUGCAUCAGAAAAAGAGCUGAGUAAGCGCCCUAUCAGGUUCUUUUCAGGUCAGGGGGGCUGCAGCUCAGGUAGCUACAGAAAUGCAACAUUUUGCUGCAGGCACUUAAGGAAGCAGUCCUAGGAGCUGCAAGGAGCUCACAGAUUGCGCUUAUGUGAGAAUUUUAACCUUUCAUAACAAAAAUAUCAUGCCACAUUGGGGGGAAAAAAGCCUUUAACCCGCUAGAAAGGAAAACGUUCCUAGUUUAGGUAUCAUAUUUUACAGUUUCCAUCAUAUUUUACAGGUUCCUGUAGACACAGGGACCAAAUGAAACUAAACCACGAUCUUGGGCAUCAAAUUACACUUCACUUUUACCUUUUCCCCCUGUGAUUCUGACAUAAGUGAUUAAAAAUGAACCCGAACCUUUGACCUACCCAUUUGGUUUUGUUUUUUUUUUCUCUCCUCUUUCUGUUCACCUGCAAACCUCUGUCUGCUAGUCGUUUCAUACAGCCUUGGUCAACUGCUUUCAACAGCUAGACAUUAAAGCCACUGAGAGCAUAAACAGGAAGCUGGUGUUUAGGUGGGAGUUCCUAGGAAUUUUAUACCACUGACCACAGAGGCCAAGAGAGAAAGGAAAUAGGAAAAACAGUGUAAAUACCUGGGUGACUAAUGACGCGCAGCUCAGCUGGCUUUUUUGAACAGUUAACAGGAAGUCUUUCCAGGGGAAACACCCUGCACAUUUUUCGGGACCCCGCGUGGCACUGAAUGGCCGUAUCGGGGCGUUUGCUGGUAACCCAACAGACUCUGCCCACGUCUCCCAAGACGCCAACUCGAUUUGCAUGCGUGGUGCAAACCGCUCGCCGAGCGCCAGGCUUCAGGCCUGGGAUUGCAAAAGCUUGGAGGGCCACCCCCUUCCCGGUUCACACCGCGAGCGCCUAAGAGGAUUUAGAAUCAAGUGGGCACGUUUGCAGGCCUCGUUGUGAAGAGGCAGCUGGAGCGCGGCGCAGCCCCCCGCGCCCCAGGGCUGCAUUGUCCUCCGAGGGGCCGCCGCCGGGCUCCUUUGUGCGCGGGGCCGGCCCUGCCCUCCCGCCCGGGGCCCCGCGGGCCUCCUCCCCGACCUCUCCCCCUCACCCCCCCACAACCACGCAGACUGCUCCCUCCGGCCCCCGACCCGCCGGCUGCCGCGGGCCCCGCGCCGAGGAGCGGGCAGGGCGGGCAGACCAUCUGCACCGAGACGGACUGCGGCCCCGGAAGGUCAGCGCCCCGACGAUCGCCGUCUGAACAGCAGGCCACCCAGGCCUCCCAGCAACACAGGGACAUCUGCUCCCCUUCAUUCAGAGCCCGGGUUCCGAUUUCACCAACUCCCCCCACCCCCUGCUCCCGGCUGACUCGGGCUCCCGGGAGUGCAACGGGGACAGGAGGGGCAGAGCAGACGCGCCGCCCGCCCCCUGCUCCCCGCUUCAGAGCAGAGCAGCUGAGUCCGGCGUGGCGGGGGAGGGGGUCACCCACGUGACCGGGGUGACGUCGUGCCGGGGAGGGGCGGCCAGGCCAAGGGGUGGCGGCGGCGGCGGGGGUCGCAGAGACUGAGACGCGCAGGUGCGUCCUGGGUUUGCGGAGGGGUUGGACCGGGGGAUCCCACCCUGCUAGGAGAGAUCGGGCAGCUCCGCCGCCUGCCCCGCUCAGGACAGAUGGGUUUAACCGCCCCCCUCAUCCCAGGCUGGGAAGAACCAGUGAAUGCGCGGGAAAGUUUGUAGCGAGCAGAGGCAGGCAUUCCUCGUGCGGAGCUCCGGACCCACAGUUGUAAAGCUAGCGGUCUGCGGGUAAGGCCAGGCUCUAGCCUGGAUGGUUGACACCCAAACUCGUCCUGCCUUUUCUGCUUUACCUUUGGGCGAAAAGAUGGAAGGAUGAAAGAAUUGCAUUUCUGUUGUGUUUCCACCCCUUGAUCAUAAACGCCCUGAACACAGAAACGCUGCAUCUUAUUCAUCUUUGUCUCCUCCG